ACGAAUACCGAAGAAUGUUAUCACGGGAGACACGGCGGGUGCUACGUCCGUCGUGAAAGAAACAGACCGCCAGCUAAGGUCCCAAAGUCAUGGUUAAGUGGGAAACGAUGUGAAGGCACAGACAGCCGGAUGUUGGCUUAGAAGCAGCCAUCAUUUAAAAGAAAGCGUAAUAGCUCACUGGUCGAGUCGGCCUGCGCGGAGAUGUAACGGGGCCAUGCACCGAAGCUGCGGCAGCGACACUAUGUGUUGUUGGGUAGGGGAGCGUUCUGUAAGCCUGCGAAGGUGUGCUGUGAGGCGGUAUCAGAAGUGCGAAUGCUGACAUAAGUAACGAUAAAGCGGGUGAAAAGCCCGCUCGCCGGAAGACCAAGGGUUCCUGUCCAACGUUAAUCGGGGCAGGGUGAGUCGACCCCUGGGCGAGGCCGAAAGGCGUAGUCGAUGGGAAACAGGUUAAUAUUCCUGUACUUGGUGUUACUGCGAAGGACGGGAAGGCUAUGUUAGCCGGGCGACGGUUGUCCCGGUUUAAGCAUGUAGGCUGGUUGUCCAGCAAAUCCGGAUAAUCAAGGCUGAGGUGUGAUGACGAGGCACUACGGUGCUGAAGUAACAAAUGCCCUGCUUCCGGGAAAGCCUCUAAGCAUCAGGUAACAUCAAAUCGUACCCAAACCGACACAGGUGGUCAGGUAGAGAAUAAAGGCGCUUGAGAGAACUCGGUGAAGGAACUAGGCAAAAUGGUGCCGUAACUUCGGGAGAAGGCACGCUGGUGUGUAGGUGAAGCCCCUGCGGGUGGAGCUGAGACCAGUCGAAGAUACCAGCUGGCUGCAACUGUUUAUUAAAAACACAGCACUGUGCAAACACGAAAGUGGACGUAUACGGUGUGACGCCUGCCCGGUGCCGGAAGGUUAAUUGAUGGGGUUAUCCGUAAGGAGAAGCUCUUGAUCGAAGCCCCGGUAAACGGCGGCCGUAACUAUAACGGUCCUAAGGUAGCGAAAUUCCUUGUCGGGUAAGUUCCGACCUGCACGAAUGGCGUAAUGAUGGCCGGGCUGUCUCCCCCGAGACUCAGUGAAAUUGAACUCGCUGUGAAGAUGCAGUGUACCCGCGGCAAGACCCCGUGAACCUUUACUAUAGCUUGACACUGAACAUUGAGCCUUGAUGUGUAGGAUAGGUGGGAGGCUUUGAAGCGUGGACGCCAGUGCGUGGAGCCAACCUUGAAAUACCACCCUUUAAUGUUUGAUGUUCUAACGUUGGCCCCUUACCGGGGUUGCGGACAGUGUCUGGUGGGUAGUUUGACUGGGGCGGUCUCCUCCCAAAGCGUAACGGAGGAGCACGAAGGUUAGCUAAUCUGGUCGGACAUCAGGAGGUUAGUGCAAUGGCAUAAGCUAGCUUGACUGCGAGCGUGACGGCGCGAGCAGGUGCGAAAGCAGGUCAUAGUGAUCCGGUGGUUCUGAAUGGAAGGGCCAUCGCUCAACGGAUAAAGGUACUCCGGGGAUAACAGGCUGAUACCGCCCAAGAGUUCAUAUCGACGGCGGUGUUUGGCACCUCGAUGUCGGCUCAUCACAUCACGGGCUGAAGUAGGUCCCAAGGGUAUGGCUGUUCGCCAUUUAAAGUGGUACGCGAGCUGGGUUUAGAACGUCGUGAGACAGUUCGGUCCCUAUCUGCCGUGGGCGCUGGAGAAUUGCUGCUCCUAGUACGAGAGGACCGGAGUGGACGCAUCACUGGUGUUCGGGUUGUCAUGCCAAUGGCACUGCCCGGUAGCUAAAUGCGGAAGAGAUAAGUGCUGAAAGCAUCUAAGCACGAAACUUUGAGAUGAGUUCUCCCUGAGACUUUAAGUCUCCUGAAGGAACGUUAAAGACGAUGACCGGGUGUGUAAGCGCAGCGAUGCGUUGAGCUAACCGGUACUAAUGAACCGUGAGGCUUAACCUU
rnacentral:rRNA from 1 species